UUGCUUCUUCUUUGAGAGCGGCGGACGGGUGAGUAAUGCCUAGGAAUCUGCCUGGUAGUGGGGGAUAACGUCCGGAAACGGACGCUAAUACCGCAUACGUCCUACGGGAGAAAGCAGGGGACCUUCGGGCCUUGCGCUAUCAGAUGAGCCUAGGUCGGAUUAGCUAGUUGGUGGGGUAAUGGCUCACCAAGGGGACGAUCCGUAACUGGUCUGAGAGGAUGAUCAGUCACACUGGAACUGAGACACGGUCCAGACUCCUACGGGAGGCAGCAGUGGGGAAUAUUGGACAAUGGGCGAAAGCCUGAUCCAGCCAUGCCGCGUGUGUGAAGAAGGUCUUCGGAUUGUAAGGCACUUUAAGUUGGGAGGAAGGGCAGUAAAUUAAUACUUUGCUGUUUUGACGUUACCGACAGGGGGAGCACCGGCUAACUCUGUGCCAGCAGCCGCGGUAAUACAGAGGGUGCAAGCGUUAAUCGGAAUUACUGGGCGUAAAGCGCGCGUAGGUGGUUCGUUAAGUUGGAUGUGAAAUCCCCGGGCUCAACCCUGGGAACUGCAUUCAAAACUGACGAGCUAGAGUAUGGUAGAGGGGUGGUGGAAAUUUCCUGUGUA
rnacentral:rRNA from 1 species